CCUACGGGAGACAGCAGUGGGGGAUAUUGCACAAUGGGGGGAACCCUGAUGCCGCGACGCCGCGUGGGUGAAGGAGGGUUUCGGCGCGUAAAGCCCUAUCGGCAGGGAAGAAGAUGACGGUACGUGACCAAGAAGACGCGGCUAACUACGUGCCAGCAGACGCGGUAAUACGGAGGGGGCAAGCGUUAUCCGGAUUUACGGGGUGUACAGGGGGCGGAGACGGCAAUGCACGGCAGGAGUGAACGCCCGGGGCCCAACCCCGGGCCUGCUCUUGAAACUGCAUGGCUGGAGUCCAGGAGGGGCAGUCGGAAUUCCUAGUGUAGCGGUGAAAUGCGUAGAUAUUAGGAGGAACCCCGGUGGCGAAGGCGGCCUGCUGGACUGUGCCUGCCGUUGCGGCCCGACGGCGU
rnacentral:rRNA from 1 species